rnacentral:rRNA from 1 species
CAGCCGCCGCGGUAAUACGAAGGGUGCAAGCAUUACUCGGAAUUACUGGGCGUAAAGCGUGCGUAGGUGGUCGUUUAAGUCUGUUGUGAAAGCCCUGGGCUCAACCUGGGAACUGCAGUGGAAACUGGACGACUAGAGUGUGGUAGAGGGUAGCGGAAUUCCUGGUGUAGCAGUGAAAUGCGUAGAGAUCAGGAGGAACAUCCAUGGCGAAGGCAGCUACCUGGACCAACACUGACACUGAGGCACGAAAGCGUGGGGAGCAAACAGGAUUAGAUACCCCGGUAGUCCCUGUCUCUUAUAA